ACUCAAGUGCAUGUCAAUCCGCCU
rnacentral:siRNA from 1 species